UGUUCAAGAUCAGCUCUUCCAAAUCAUAGCAACCCUGAAUCCGGAGCUUUCUCAGGCCUUUCAUGAUCUCGAGACAAGUAGACAGAUCAAAAGACUUGCUUCCCACUUUGUCCAGGCAUAUAGAUCUGAUCAAUGCACACACUCUCCCAGAGUUCUUCUGUAACGCCUGCAUGCCCUCCUGUGUCAUGCCAUUAAUAAUCUCAAGAUUGAGCUCCGUCAGCUGGCCCAUGCCGUCCAAGUCUUUCAGAGAGAGUUGUCUCCCCUCGUCAUCACCCUCCUCCCAUCCUCCUCCCAACACAUAGCCGCUUCUAUACAUGUUGAACGACUGCAGCCCUGCAAGCGACGAGACCGCCUCGCGUGGGAUACUCUUCAGACUCCAGGUUUUCUCCAAACGCAGUUGUCUCAGCUUCGUCAACUUCCCUAGCUCCACGGGCAGUGAUUCCAAGUCAGGACAUGAUAAAUCGAGAUACCGCAGUUCAACCAGUGACCCGAUUCCCGGCGGGAGAUGACUUAUUCCCGCCGUCCUCAGAUCUAACACACGAAGUCUCAGCAUGAACUGGAAAAACCCGACGGGGAUUUCCUUCAGAGGAUGGUUCUUGUACAGUAACAGCGUCUGCAGAUUAGGGCAUUGGGGCUUCUCAGGGAGCACACUUAUCUCGUUGAACAUGAGCGAUAUCCUUGUUGCCUCCGUCCAUCUUUCCGGCGUCGGCACGCGGGUCAACCCCUCCCCGGAGUUCACCAAGAACACAUACCCAUCUUUCUCGCCGUCGCAUUUGCCGCUGGUUAUCCACAAGGCCAUCUCGCGGACCGUGUCAUGGAGCUUCACGUAUUCUCCUUCGAUAACCCCCCCGUCUUCUAGCAGGCAGGCAGAUUUGAGACUGGUGAUGGCCAGGUGGCCGCGACUUCGAGCUGUAUCAAUGGGGUCGAGAAAGCUUCCUCUAUCUAAAAGCCCUUCUCCUACCCACUUGUCAAUGAGCUUGCGUAUAUUGAUGUUGUAAUCCUCUGGGUAGAGGGCGCAGUAGAGAAGGCACUCCCUGGCGGAUGCAUCCUUCAAUCGAUCGAAACUGAACUUGAGAAGCCUUAGAACCUCCUCUUCCAUGUCUCCGAGCUCCGCGGGUACACUCUUCAGAGCUACGAGAGCCGCCGUCCACUCACCAGGGGUGGUCGCAUCCGCCAUGGCCCGGGCCACGGUGAUGAGGGUGAUCGGCAGGCCUCCGCAUUUCUCACAAACGGCUUCUGCGAGGGAUCCGAUAGAGGGAUCCCACUGGUCUUCUCCCCGGCCCAGCUUUUGGCAGAAGAGCUCCCAAGAGCUCGCUGGAUCCAAGAGGAUCACCUUAACUUUCCGCUGAGCGUCCAUCCGGUUGCACACUUCCAGUGACCGCGUGGUGAAGACUACCUUGCUUCCGUUUGUGCGGAAGGAGGGGGAGAGGACGCCCACCUUGUCGAGGUGUAGCUUCUCCCACAGGUCGUCCAGCAGCAGGACGAACUUCCUCUGGGAGAGGGCUCCAUUCAGCGUGACAGCCCUUUCUUCUCGAUUCUCCGGAAGAAUCAUGCCCAACCGCUUGGCGAUGUCGUCUUGAACCUUCAGGACAUCGAGUUGCUUUGAGACGGUGACCCAAAUCACCAGAUCGAAACGGCGGGUUCCUUCGCGGUGGAGCUCGUUGUUGAUGGCCUUCAGGAGGGUCGUCUUCCCUAUUCCUCCCAUGCCGUACAUCCCGAUGAUUUGCGCUUCUUUGUCCUCCAGGUGCAUGAAGAGCUCCGACAGCGUGGCCUCCGCGCCCACGAUCGACAGUGAAGAGAUCGGCUGCUCAACCACGGCUGCUGGGGACGACAGGUGGAGAUUCCAUACCCAGGAGAGGGCUUCCCUUGCUCUGCUCCGCAGGAAAUCUUUCAGACUAUCUGACAUGGGAUCCCAGAGGAAUCCCAAGCAAGCAAGGAAGAGAUUCAUUCUGAUAAUCCCUACGCAAGGAGGAACGGAUCGACGAGAGAGAGACGGCGAGAGAGAGAGAGAGAGAGAGAGAGAUGAAGAUAGAGAGAGACAGAGAGACAGAGAGACAGACAGCAAGUGGUUGACUUCGCUGCCCAUGUGUAACCGGCGGGGGACUUAGAAAGCCAAUCUACACCGUCCAUGCCUUAUCUGCAGGGGCCCAGCUGCCGGUUCAGUCGCCGACGGUGGAAUCGGGUGGUGGGAAUCGGUCUACUUGUACCGUCAAUCUCAGCCAUUCAUUUCGGUGUAAUCGGGCGAUGGGGAUCGAUCGACCUUUGAUGAGGAUGGAUCGGGAGGAGAGGGCGCCUCCGGCCGGUCCCCACUCUCUCUCUCUCUGUCUCUGUGCAAGGGAAAGGUGUGGAGAGAGAAAGAAAGAGGAGGUGGCCUUCAACCUUCCUUCCUGCUUCCACAGGGUUAGGGUUUCAGGGAAGUUGACUAGGAAUUUCGAGAUCGGGGGGGGCCAUCUCCUCCGGACAUCUCUCUCUGGUCCGGUGCGAGAUUCGCCGUGGAGGACGACGCCGGCGAGACCUUCGGAGGCGGGCCUGAUCAGUUUCAUCGCAGCAGCGACGCCAUCUCCGCCGUGCAGGACGGGGACUAGACUACCUCUACAACCCGCUGCCCGAUGGGUCGGAGAUGUUCGGGGAAAUAAGGGAGAAAUGGAAGACCCGGAGACUCGCAGUCUGAGGAUUCGGGAUCCCCGUCUUCUCUUACCGUUGACAUUGAUCCAUUAGUCCGAGGAUCGAGGCGCUGGUCUCCCUUGUUACGACACCCGAUCUUAUAGUCGGCCGUCCUCACCAGAAGUCUUAACACCUUGGACGAGAAUUUCGUCGACAAUCACUCCUCUUCCGAAAAAUGGUGGCUACGAUUAUUAAUAUGAUCGAGCAGGGAAGAAAAACCCGUCAGAGACAAAAUUUGGGCUUUUAAAUAGGAAUCAUAUUAGCAAAAGGCUGAAAUCCGAACUAGUCUGCAAAACAGUAAGAGAUUCCAAGCUCAAGCGAAUAGGAAAGAUCUUUCAUCUAGCGAUGUCAUAAUUGAAUUCCUUCUUGUGUAAUCAACGGAGAAGAUAGUAAGGAUUCAAGCUAGUUCUCCGUCAUUGCCUCUUCACUUGAUGCUACCGCCGAUACAAAUAAUAGAGAGACAGCUAGCGAGUUAUGCUGGAUGAACUGGAACAGAAGAAUCAGAAACACAAGCAGAGGGAGGGAUGGAGACAGAAGCCAUUUAAAUGAUGGAAUUUCCAAUUGCUCCCCCUCACCUUUCGUCUUCUGGCUAUCCUCCCUAAACUACUGUAGAAACUGCUAUUGCGAAACUCUACCGAAAGCUGAACUAGAGUCGGCCAGCAUUUGAGAAAUGAUCAUUAAUGAUGAUUAUUUCAUACUUGUCUAAUUUAAAUACAAAACCUGUGCAAGUUUCAUAUAGAAUUCAAACAAAUACAAGAUCUAUUAAACUGUGGGAUCGAAUUCAAUUGAGCAUAGCCCACUUUUGCAAUGAGUCAUAGAAGAAAGUUCUUAGAUUAAUCAUGAGAAACAUUGUUUGUCCACGCCCAUUUUUAUGACCGACUUGAUAGAGCAAGCCAUUUCAUUAAACGUGUCGAGCUAUAGAGAAGGUAAAUAUGAAUUUUAAAUCAAGCCAUAAUGAGAGAGAUCUGCAUGAGCACCUAGCCAAGCUGAAAAUAUGACUCCUCAUCCUCAUAGAUGUGUUUAAGAACUCUCUUUGACUCCUCAUCUUCUAGCAAACAGGCAGAUUUCAGACUGCUGAUGGCCAGGUGGCCGCGACUUCGAGCUGUACCAAUGGGGUCAAGCUGUCCUCUUGAGUCUUCAUAAAUCCUUCGAGACGGAGAUCCAGCUCACCAGAUGGAAACGGCCGGGCCCCUUUUGGGGGAGCUCGUCGUUGAUCGCCUUCAGGGGGUGGUCUUCCCUAUUCCUCCCACGCCACGGAUUUUUUUAGAAUGUACAAUUUAUUCGUAUCCGGAAAUGGAAUUCUGGGUAAACUUAUAGCGUCAGCCGAGUAAAAUAAUUGAAUUCAUUAAAAAUCCUGAAAAUUCGCUCAUCUUUUGAAAAAGAAUACAAAGAUAGAAGCCGUUCAGCAAUGCUGUUCUCUGGAAGUGUACUUUCCCUUUUUCAUCUUUAGCAGAACGAGCAAUGAUGAAGAAGCUGUUACUCAUAUAGAGAUCGCGAGUAAUUUCAGCAAAGCUUUCGGUUGAUAAACCCAAAACAGAGAAAGAAAUGAUACAAUUCUACCGCAAACGCCCAAAAUUUUUCUGAAAUAUUUCAUGAAAUGAGAGAAUGAUAAAUGAAUGUGUUUGAUGUUCUGAAUUCCCCAACCACUCGAUAAAACCACACUAAGAUCCAUGCUAGCACUGCGGUUCAGCUUCAGUAUUCUUGGUCAACGUCAAACGGGCAUGCGUGCUACAUACAGUUAAGGAAAGCAACAAGCAAAGGAAUGGCAGCAUGAUAUGACCAGUUCAUACGAUGAAUGAAACAAGCGAAUUUGCAGUAAAUAUUUUAGUAGCCGGUGAACUUUUAAGUGCAGGACUAUGGUGAUACGAGGAACGAAAUCAGGGCAUAAAAGGACAUUUUCACGUAGGGGAGGGAGAGCUUCCUCCGGACGCUCCGCCGGGGUGAGGAUGCGGGUUUCCCCCGGGAGGCCGAGGUGGAGAAGAAGCCAGAUACAUUGCCGCCGCCGCCGCCGCCACUGCCCUCGCCGUUGCCGGUUAUUAAGUAGCCUCCGCCUUCGAUUUUCUCUUGGCGGCCAGUAGGGAUCCCUGGCAUCUGUCUGGACCUUCAUCUUCGUGCCAUGUUCUUCACAAAGAGCCUAUGGUUCAACGGCCACAUGCUUUACCAUGAAAUUGCCUCCAUGAUACACAGAGUGCAAACAACUCCAGCGUGCUUCGUAAAAUCGUAAUAUUAUUAAUUUGGGAGAAAGUAUGAGUUAAACUUUGAUCGAAGAGCCUCUCUCUCUCUCUCUCUCUGGCUGGAAAGCCCAGCAGGAAGAAAUGAAGGUCCCCAUGGGACCUCCUCCGCCUCUGAGGAAGCAGAAUCCGCCUCCUGGCUCGAGCUCCGAUAUUAAUGGUGUACCCGCUACCGCUGGAGAAGCGUCCACGGAUGAAGCCUGUGCCGAAAGCUGGUGGCAAGCAGAGUUAGAGCAGGCAGGUGUUCCGCUGGAAGAAGGGAAGGUCCCCAUGGGACCUCCUCCUCCUCCGAGAUUCCCAAUUCCUCCACUGCCGUCAGGCUCCAAAGUUGACGGUGAACACCUGGAGGAACCGCAGGUCGGAGGCGGAAGAAUAGCGGAACCACAGCAGGACCGAAUCAAGGUCCCCUUGGGACCUCCCCCUCCGAGGAUUCCUAAUCCUCCUCCUAGUUUGAGCUCAAACCAUAAUGGUGUGCCAGCUGACGUGGGAAUGAUCUCCCCCGGGGAAAAACAGGUUAGCGGUCGGCAACAAGAAGAGUCAGAGAAAGCCUGUGCCCCAGUCGCAGAGGUGUACGAAAGGAAGGAAGUGCCGGAGAAGCCGACGGCGAGUAAGGAUUCAGCUCGGUCGGCGCCUCUGAACCAGCUGACUGUCCCCUACGUGAUUCCGCCAUGGAGUGAGCCUCAGGGGAACCCUUUCUACUUCGAAAUCCUAAAGGACGGCACCAUCAUCGGACAAUUAGACGUGUGAGUCAUCUGCCAGAGUCGAUCAUCAUCAUGAUCCGUUGCAACAGGAAGCUUUUCUUGAUUCAUCUUGACUCAACCAGCCUCUGGAAGACCAUUAUCUAGAGUUUUGAAUGUCCCUUUUUAUGUGCAUUGACAAGUGAUGAUGCCUAGGUUCUGAAUUAUCUAAACGUGUUCAGAAAAUGUUCCGAGCAUUAGGCAUUCGAUUUGAACAUUUAAAACCCACCAAAAAGAAUUUCAUAUUGGAUUUUUGACCGAAAUCUUUACACUGAACAGAGUUGCUGAAAAAUUUUCAUUCCUUUGGUGCAUCUGUGGACGACUUGGACAUUGAGUUGAUGUGAUUUCGUUCAUAAUUUGAGCCCUUAAAUUUAAUAUUCCGUAACAUAUCGGAAACUGUAAGUUGUUUCUGUAAACAUUGGGCAAAUUUUGUUAAUCUGUUUUAGUCAGAAAUUCUUGUUUUGAUUUUUAUUAAGCUAACACUUAUAAAGCACACCCUACAUAGAGUUCAUUUACAUUUUGAAUUUGUAUAUAUUCUUUUUUUCGAAUAGGAAAGAGCAUGCUAGGCCUAAGUAACAUUAGAUUGAAUUGUUUUGCUUUUCUUAGAUUCAAGGAGCAAGAUUAGUGACCUUAUCAAAGUUGGAGGAAGGGAUCUAAUAACUUUGUCAUGAUCAGAAUAUUAUUUGGCAUGCUUAGGAAAAUCACAAUUUGACUCUUAUAUUGAACUGGGAAUGAGAAACAAUUGAGGCACUGUCAUUAGCAGACUGAGGCAGAUAAAAUUUGCCAAAAAUGCAUCUCAGAGGAAGCUGUUAGGAUCUAGUUAGAUAUUCCUCUUAAAAUGAUAUAAUGUUCGAGUUUCCAAUCAGAUCAGCAUAGAGGUACAACAGAAGUAGACUGGAGUUAGUAAAGGUAGGGGAGAGGCUAGCUACUCAGGGGAUAUUGCCCUGUGAUCUUCGUUGACAAUUAAGGGCUACACUCAUCAUUUUUGUAAGGUUUGUAAGGAUGGUUGAGGAAUGCUGGAAGCAAACUUUACAGAGCCAUUAAGAUGGAUAUGAAUUUGUAGAAUACUAGAUGCGCUUUCAUUCCACCACCCAACGCUUCACCCAUCGGAUUGCUUUGCUGUAACAUUUCAAUGAUAUGCAAUCUGAUUUGAUGAUGGUUGAAAAUAAGGGGUAAACUUUGAUCGGACGUCUUCAUGGUCCCACUCUAAUGCAUCCCACCAUUCUUCUUCACCUUUGAUCAGUAUCAUGUUCUUGGCACUAGGGAGCCCAAAGGGCAGCUUCUUCAGCUCUGGACAGUUUGAUACUUCGACAUACCCUAAGGAAGGGAACAACAAGGGAUGCCUACAUAUGCUCCUCAGAUUCGGAAGAUAAAUCAACUGAAUCUCCUUUAAUUUGGGGAAAAAGGAAUCAUUUUCAAAAUCAGUCACAUUCUGGCCCAUCAUGACCUCUUCUACUACUAUCAGCUCCACUAUUUUCGAGCAUCCCAUUAGGUCGACGGUCUGAAUAGAUGGUAGAUCUCUAAUCCAGGUUAUGUCCUCCAAUGCGUCACAAUUCCAAAUCCACAACGUCACAAGGCAUUUGAAGAUGGCAGGAGUGCUGGGCCCCCUCUCAGACACGUUGCCAUCAGUCCAAGAGAUCGUUGUGAGGGGAAGAUCCCUCAAUUCCAAUUUCUCCAACUGGGGGCAAUGAAAUGACUGAUUCGUGUUCAAGAUCAACUCUUCCAAAUGGGGGCAAUAAAAAAUGUCAAGCUUUCUCAGGCCUUUCAUGAUAUCGAGACAAGUAGACAGAUCAAAAGACUUGCUUCCCACUUCUUUCAGCCAUAGAGAUCUGAUCGACGCAAACAGUCUCCCAGAGUUCUUCUGUAACGCCUGCAUGCCCUCCUGUGUCAUGCCAUUAAUAAUAUAAAGAUUGAGCUCCGUCAGCUGGCCCAUGCCGUCCAAGUCUUUCAGAGAGAGUUGUCUCCC
rnacentral:lncRNA from 1 species